rnacentral:RNase_P_RNA from 1 species
GUCGCCGGCCACCCUGUCGCUUCGGACAACAGGUCCGGGGAGGAAAGUCCGGACAACGCAGAGCACCACACCAGCUAACGGCUGGGGCUUUGCUGCGAAGGCAGCGAGGUACAGAUCGGGUCACAGAAACAUACCGCCGAUCCCUUCUUUGGAAGGGAGGUAAGGGUGAAAUCGUGCGGUAAGAGCGCACGCAUCAUCAGAGCAAUCCGAUGGUGGGAUAAACCUUGUGGGUUGAAAUGCCAUGUACAUCCGGGUCCUUCGGGGCAGGUCGGCUCGGCCUGUUGCGCCCAGGCACAGCCCGGAGGGGUAGGCAGAUUCAUUUCGUCAGUGAUGGCGAAAGCAGAUAAAUGACAGGGUUCCGCUUCUGGCGGAAACAGAAUCCGGCUUAUCGGCCGGCGACAUUU